rnacentral:rRNA from 1 species
CUAUACAUGCAAGUCGAGCGGACAGAAGGGAGCUUGCUCCCGGAUGUUAGCGGCGGACGGGUGAGUAACACGUGGGUAACCUGCCUGUAAGACUGGGAUAACUCCGGGAAACCGGAGCUAAUACCGGAUAGUUCCUUGAACCGCAUGGUUCAAGGAUGAAAGACGGUUUCGGCUGUCACUUACAGAUGGACCCGCGGCGCAUUAGCUAGUUGGUGGGGUAAUGGCUCACCAAGGCGACGAUGCGUAGCCGACCUGAGAGGGUGAUCGGCCACACUGGGACUGAGACACGGCCCAGACUCCUACGGGAGGCAGCAGUAGGGAAUCUUCCGCAAUGGACGAAAGUCUGACGGAGCAACGCCGCGUGAGUGAUGAAGGUUUUCGGAUCGUAAAGCUCUGUUGUUAGGGAAGAACAAGUGCGAGAGUAACUGCUCGCACCUUGACGGUACCUAACCAGAAAGCCACGGCUAACUACGUGCCAGCAGCCGCGGUAAUACGUAGGUGGCAAGCGUUGUCCGGAAUUAUUGGGCGUAAAGGGCUCGCAGGCGGUUUCUUAAGUCUGAUGUGAAAGCCCCCGGCUCAACCGGGGAGGGUCAUUGGAAACUGGGAAACUUGAGUGCAGAAGAGGAGAGUGGAAUUCCACGUGUAGCGGUGAAAUGCGUAGAGAUGUGGAGGAACACCAGUGGCGAAGGCGACUCUCUGGUCUGUAACUGACGCUGAGGAGCGAAAGCGUGGGGAGCGAACAGGAUUAGAUACCCUGGUAGUCCACGCCGUAAACGAUGAGUGCUAAGUGUUAGGGGGUUUCCGCCCCUUAGUGCUGCAGCUAACGCAUUAAGCACUCCGCCUGGGGAGUACGGUCGCAAGACUGAAACUCAAAGGAAUUGACGGGGGCCCGCACAAGCGGUGGAGCAUGUGGUUUAAUUCGAAGCAACGCGAAGAACCUUACCAGGUCUUGACAUCCUCUGACACCCUAGAGAUAGGGCUUUCCCUUCGGGGACAGAGUGACAGGUGGUGCAUGGUUGUCGUCAGCUCGUGUCGUGAGAUGUUGGGUUAAGUCCCGCAACGAGCGCAACCCUUGAUCUUAGUUGCCAGCAUUCAGUUGGGCACUCUAAGGUGACUGCCGGUGACGAGGAAGGUGGGGAUGACGUCAAAUCAUCAUGCCCCUUAUGACCUGGGCUACACACGUGCUACAAUGGACAGAAGAAAGUGCAGCAAGAC